CCCUUAGAUGUUCUGGGCCGCACACGCGCUACACUGAAGGAGGCAGCGUGUACUCCUGGAUCGAAAGAUUUGGGUAACCCGCGAAUCUCCUUCGUGCUAGGGAUUGAGGUUUGCAAUUGUCCUUCAUGAACGAGGAAUUCCCAGUAAGUGCAAGUCAUAAGCUUGCGCUGACUACGUCCCUGCCCUUUGUACACACCGCCCGUCGCUACUACCGAUUGAAUGAUUUAGUGAGGACUUCGGACUGGGACCGAUGCGGCUUUCGGGCUGCGUCGGUAUUCUGGAAAGAUGUCCAAACUGUAUCAUUUAGAGGAAGUAAAAGUCGUAACA
rnacentral:rRNA from 1 species